CCUUGCUCGUUUUAAUUUUUCUGAAAGAUUUUAUUUAUGAGAGAGAGAGAGAGAGAGAUCACAAGCAUUGGGGAGUAGAGGGAGAAGCAGAUUCCCCGCUGAGCCGGGAGCUUGACUUGGGACUAGAUCCCAGGACCAUGGAAUCAUGACCUGAGCCCAAGGUGUGUUGUGCUGCAUGAAAAUGUGAGUGUGCCUGGAGAACUUAGACCAGUGGCUGUGGAGAAGAACACAAGACACACAGAGAGAGAGAGAGGCAGAGACACAGGCAGAGGGAGAAGCAGGCUCCAUGCGGGGAGCCCGACGCGGGACUCGAUUCGGGGUCUCCAGGAUCAGGCCCUGGGCCGAAGGCGGCGCCCAACCGCUGAGCCCCCUGGGCUCAUGCUCUAAACUUGUAUGUGGUGCGUGCCUCUUUUUAAAGCAUAACUCACUUCAACGCACAGAAACAUUUUAAAACGUAAUAUAGGGACAGAUCGGUUAUUCAUUCAUUCAUUCAUUCAUUCAUUCAUUCCCUUUAAAACGGGGAAGCCUUGGAGAGACGCAGGCCAUGCUCCGCGCUGCCUCGGACUCGCACCGCAGCUCGCUCCGGAGCGGCCCGCCAGGUCUCUGGGGCGGCGCGGGGCGCGCGUAGGGGGCUCCGCGGGGCACGUGACCUAGACCCUGCCCCCCGCUUCCUGGGCUAACGGAACCUCCCGACCCAGCUGUUCUCUCUCCCUUCGCACGCCCGGGGCGGGGCGCCCGGAGGGUCAGAGGCAACCUCCGUAGAAAAGUGCCAGCGGGAGCCCCGGGGUGGUCGAUGCCAAGGCUCCUUCCAGCUCCCCAUCUCUGGGCUGCUUUUCACAGAGAUGCACAGUUUAGGGUGAAAACGUUGUUGUCUAAGACGGGGCUGAUGA